rnacentral:rRNA from 1 species
UACGUAGGUGGCAAGCGUUGUCCGGAUUUACUGGGCGUAAAGAGCGCGCAGGCGGCUGGGUCAGUCCGAUGUGAAAGCUUCCGGCUUAACUGGAAAAUUGCAUCGGAAACUGCCUAGCUUGAAGGUGGGAGAGGGUAGCGGAAUUCCCGGUGUAGUGGUGAAAUGCGUAGAUAUCGAGAGGAACUCCAGUGGCGAAGGCGGCUACCUGCCCAUUCUUGACGCUAAGGCGCGAAAGCUAGGGGAGCGAACGGG